UACGAAGGGGGCUAGCGUUGCUCGGAAUUACUGGGCGUAAAGCGCACGUAGGCGGCUUUCUAAGUCGGGGGUGAAAUCCUGGAGCUCAACUCCAGAACUGCCUUCGAUACUGGAGAGCUCGAGUCCGGGAGAGGUGAGUGGAACUGCGAGUGUAGAGGUGAAAUUCGUAGAUAUUCGCAAGAACACCAGUGGCGAAGGCGGCUCACUGGCCCGGUACUGACGCUGAUGCACGAAGGCCAGGGGAGCAAACGGG
rnacentral:rRNA from 1 species